AAUCGAUGCAACGCGAAGAACCUUACCUGGGCUUGACAUGCCCGUCGUACUUUCCUGAAAGGGAGAGGUCAGUUCGGCUGGACGGUGCACAGGUGCUGCAUGGCUGUCGUCAGCUCGUGCCGUGAGGUGUUGGGUUAAGUCCCGCAACGAGCGCAACCCUUGUGGUUAGUUGCCACCUUCAACGAAAGGCGAAGAGCACUCUAACCAGACUGCCCGUGAUAAGCGGGAGGAAGGUGGGGAUGACGUCAAGUCAGUAUGGUCCUUAUGCCCAGGGCUGCACACGUGCUACAAUGGGCGGUACAGAGGGAAGCAAAACCGCGAGGUGGAGCAAAUCCCCAAAACCGUCCUCAGUUCGGAUUGGAGUCUGCAACUCGACUCCAUGAAGCUGGAAUCGCUAGUAAAGGCGUAUCAGCUACGACGCCUUGAAUACGUUCCCGGGCCUUGUACACACCGCCCGUCACAUCACGAAAGUUGACUGCACCCGAAGUCGCUGAUCCAACUGCUUGCAGAGGAAGGUGCCGAAGGUGUGGUUGAUGAUUGGGAUGAAGUCGUAACAAGGUAACCA
rnacentral:rRNA from 1 species